rnacentral:tRNA from 1 species
GGAAUGUGGUCAAGCGGUAGCACGCUUGCCUGGAAUGUAGGGGGCACUGGGUUCGAUCCUCAGCACCA